rnacentral:rRNA from 1 species
AUUGAACGCUGGCGGCAUGCUUUACACAUGCAAGUCGAACGGUAACAGGCCUUCGGGUGCUGACGAGUGGCGAACGGGUGCGUAAUGCAUCGGAACGUACCCAGAGGUGGGGGAUAACGCAGCGAAAGCUGUGCUAAUACCGCAUGUGAUCUGAGGAUGAAAGCGGGGGACCGAGCAGCAAUGUUUGGCCUCGCGCCUUUGGAGCGGCCGAUGUCGGAUUAGCUAGUUGGUUGGGUAAAGGCCUACCAAGGCGACGAUCCGUAGCUGGUCUGAGAGGACGACCAGCCACACUGGGACUGAGACACGGCCCAGACUCCUACGGGAGGCAGCAGUGGGGAAUUUUGGACAAUGGGCGCAAGCCUGAUCCAGCAAUGCCGCGUGCGGGAAGAAGGCCUUCGGGUUGUAAACCGCUUUUGGCAGGAACGAAACGGUGUCCGCUAAUACCGGGCGCUAAUGACGGUACCUGCAGAAUAAGCACCGGCUAACUACGUG